GACGAACGCUGGCGGCGUGCUUAACACAUGCAAGUCGAACGGUAAGGCCCUUCGGGGUACACGAGUGGCGAACGGGUGAGUAACACGUGGGUGAUCUGCCCUGCACUUCGGGAUAAGCCUGGGAAACUGGGUCUAAUACCGGAUAGGACCUCGCACUUCACGGUGUGUGGGGGGAAGCUUUUGCGGUGUGGGAUGGGCCCGCGGCCUAUCAGCUUGUUGGUGGGGUAAUGGCCUACCAAGGCGACGACGGGUAGCCGGCCUGAGAGGGUGACCGGCCACACUGGGACUGAGAUACGGCCCAGACUCCUACGGGAGGCAGCAGUGGGGAAUAUUGCACAAUGGGCGCAAGCCUGAUGCAGCGACGCCGCGUGAGGGAUGACGGCCUUCGGGUUGUAAACCUCUUUCAGUAGGGACGAAGCGCAAGUGACGGUACCUACAGAAGAAGGACCGGCCAACUACGUGCCAGCAGCCGCGGUAA
rnacentral:rRNA from 1 species